GGCUUGGGAGUCCCUGUCAUCUUUUGAAGAAAUGUUGAACUCUCAGGGCUUCUUGCUUGUCCAACUCACCUGUCUGGUGUCAGAAAUUUUCCUCCCCCCUUACUGGAGUCUGGGAAUGGUCUGUCAGUGGUGGGAAGUCGUGGCUGUGCCUGUCAGACAGCAGAUGACAGGCUGGGGAGAUGGGAUCCCUCUUGCUUCUCUGGUUAUCGAUUUUUGCUUCAUUUUUCUCAGGGCUGACAUUAAUUGUAAGUUUUGAGGGUAAUCAACACCAAGCAAUAAGGUGAGUUAUUAAACCAGGGUGAUCCCCUGGAAGUUUCUUUUAUAGCCCAGGGGUGCUCCUGCCUCCCUGCAGACCUGGGUAUCUCUGAUCAUGUUCUGAGCAACAAGAUGUUUAUCCUGCAACCUCCUUCUUGGUUGGAAAAACAGAUCUGAUAAUAUUUCCUUACCCUGCAGGGAUCCAGAGGAUUAAUUAGGGAAGGUGGCAAGAUGCUCUGAUGU